rnacentral:rRNA from 1 species
AUUGAACGCUGGCGGCAGGCCUAACACAUGCAAGUCGAACGAGUGGCGGACGGGUGAGUAAUGUCUGGGAAACUGCCUGAUGGAUGGGGAUAACUACUGGAAACGGUAGCUAAUACCGCAUACCAGCGGAUGUGCCCAGAUGGGUUUAGCUAGUAGGUGGGGUAAAGGCUCACUUAGGCGACGAUCCCUAGCUGGUCUGAGAGGAUGACCGGCCACCGUGUAACUGAGACACGGUCCAGACUCCGACGGGAGGCAGCAGUGGGGAAUAUUGGACAAUGGGCGCAAGCCUGAUGCAGCCAUGCCGCGUGUAUGAAGAAGGCCUUCGGGUUGUAAAGUACUUUCAGCUGGGAGGCGUUACCCACAGAAGAAGCACCGGCUAACUCCGUGCCAGCAGCCGCGGUAAUUC